GUAGUCGGAUAUAGGUUCAUUUCAAAGACCGCUAAGACCUUGAAUAUGAGAGAAUAAUCUGGCAUCCAUAGGUACUAUAGUCUCCAGUCUUGGACAGCCAUCACGUCUUCAUUUUUACAUCUCAGCAGUGAGAAAGAUCUCAAAGGCAGAAGCGUAUCACCUUCCAGUGCUCUUGGAUCCGUAGUAGAAAUAUGGUGGGAAACAGAAGGACCUCAGUAUGGUGACAUCUUCUGUCCAUGUUGCCUUCAGUAUUAUUUUUGUUAAGUUUUUUUGUUUUUGUUUUUGUUUUUUUACUUUAAAUUCCAGUGCAGUUAACGUACGGAGUUAUAUUACUUCCAAGUGUAUAACACAGCGAUUCAACAGUUCCAUACGUGAUUCCGUGCUCCUCAUGGCCCUGCUCAAACGCUCUGCCUUCUUGAGAUGUUACUCAAGCGGCCAAGGGAAGCCGAAGGGGAAUCAGCGACCCCACAUUUCAACUCGGAGUGCUUGUCGACCCCAGUCGGUCAGCAUGGUGGCCUGCCUGUGCCCUGUGUUCUCCCAGCAUCCCCCUGGCUGCAUCCCUUAGUGUUGCUUCUGUUUGGGUCACAUGACUGUCCCUAACACAACCCCUUCUUCCACCCCAUCCGCCCCACCCCAAACCCCAGCUCCCGGAAAGAGUCAGUUGCGGCAUGGACCGUCCCCUCUUCCGUCCCCCACUCGCCUGACUCCAGUUCCAAGCCCACUCCUCUGUCUUCAUUUAAUGAGGUUUAUUGUUUGUGCUUAGUACUUCUCAAAGCCCCGUCACCCUCUCUGCAUUUGCUCUUAGAUCUUCAGCCUGCCAGAGAGGUGGGCUUUUGAAGCUGCCUUCUUUAAUUCAGUACCUGGCUUCUGCAUUUAACGGCACAUGGGUUUGAAGUAUACAUAAACCACAGUGGAAACAUCUGAGAAGCAUCCCGAGACACCGCAAAUUAUAAAGGGCGAUUAAGAAAUAGUGUGGUACUCUAGCUCCUCGUGCCUUAGAACUUGAUUCUUUGUAUCAAAAAGAUGCGGGGAUAUCAAAAUAUCACUGUCUGACUCUGAUAAUGACUUCCUGGAGUUUCAUACAUUUGUGGAACAAAGAUAUAAUUUUAAUUAUCAGCAGCUCCAUUAAAAAAAAAAAAACCUCUUUGGCUGUUACAAAGGAUGGGGGU
rnacentral:lncRNA from 1 species